rnacentral:rRNA from 1 species
GUGGGGAAUAUUGGACAAUGGGCGAAAGCCUGAUCCAGCCAUGCCGCGUGUGUGAAGAAGGUCUUCGGAUUGUAAAGCACUUUAAGUUGGGUGGAAGGGUAGUAACCUAAUACGUUGCUACUUUGACGUUACCGACAGAAUAAGCACCGGCUAACUUCGUGCCAGCAGCCGCGGUAAUACGAAGGGUGCAAGCGUUAAUCGGAAUUACUGGGCGUAAAGCGCGCGUAGGUGGUUUUGUAAGUUGGAGGUGAAAUCCCCGGGCUCAACCUGGGAACUGCCUCCAAAACUGCAUGACUAGAGUACGGUAGAGGGUAGUGGAAUUUCCUGUGUAGCGGUGAAAUGCGUAGAUAUAGGAAGGAACACCAGUGGCGAAGGCGACUACCUGGACUGAUACUGACACUGAGGUGCGAAAGCGUGGGGAGCAAACAGGAUUAGAUACCCGUGUAGUCC